CCUGUUCAUUGUGUGUGGUUUG
rnacentral:miRNA from 1 species